GCAAUCACAAUCACCAGAAAAAAAAGGAAAGGAAGAUGCUAUUUGUUGUUGUUAUUUUCUAAUAGAUAUAUAUGCAUCUGUAUAGUUGGAUUCGAUUCCUUCUGGGCUUAGAAGAUUUAGAAAAGUGAUAUUGGAUUGAUUCUUAUUAUGACAACUUAACUCAUUUAUUCGCAGAAAUUCCAAUACAAGGCAUCAUCGUGUCCUAAUGAUGCUGAGGAUGAGGAAGACGAUGAGGAGAA
rnacentral:ribozyme from 1 species